rnacentral:rRNA from 1 species
AGCAGUGGGGAAUAUUGCGCAAUGGGCGAAAGCCUGACGCAGCGACGCCGUGUGAGGGAAGAAGGCCUUCGGGUCGUAAACCUCUGUCAGAAGGGAAGAACCCCCAAGGUUCGAAUAGGGCUUUGGGCUGACGGUACCUUCAGAGGAAGCACCGGCUAAUUCCGUGCCAGCAGCCGCGGUAAUACGGAAGGUGCAAGCGUUAAUCGGAAUUACUGGGCGUAAAGCGCACGUAGGCUGCUUUGUAAGUCGGAUGUGAAAGCCCUCGGCCCAACCGGGGAACUGCAUUCGAAACUGCAAGGCUGGAGUCCUGGAGAGGGUGGCGGAAUUCCCGGUGUAGGAGUGAAAUCCGUAGAUAUCGGGAGGAACACCAGUGGCGAAGGCGGCCACCUGGACAGGUACUGACGCUGAGGUGCGAAAGUGUGGGGAGCAAACAGGAUUAGAUACCCUGGUAGUCCACACCGUAAACGAUGGAUGCUAGGUGUCGGGGAGUAUUCUUCGGCGCCGUAGCUAACGCGUUAAGC